GUCGCCCUGUCCUGUUUUAAAUGCUGAACACGUUUCAGAAACUACCUUAUAUGACUGCUUGAAUGGUUUCUUUUUUCACUUAUUAUCAUUAUUGCACUGCCUUACCUUUUCAAUAUGUCAAUGCUAUUUGCUGUCAUUGUUUUCACCAUAGAGGAAAUAUAAGAGAUGAAAAUAUAUUUCGUCUAUAGCUUUCACAUCGACGUAUGUAUAUUUUAAAUCAGCUUCAAUAAUGAAAUCCGGAUGGAAUAAGUCCUGUUUUUUUCGGCAAGUAUGCAAGGAUGUGGAACGUGCAGUAUUUUGGCACAAGCGCAAACCGAGCGCAGUAUCCGCAAAAAAUCCAUAUCACCUGCCAGAGGAGAACCACGAAGUUCAAGGAACUAUACAAACUAUACAAACAAUCAAUAAUUGUUACACCUGCAAUAUUACUUAAUUUAUUGUUUAUUCCUUAAAAUGGACUUGAAUUACUUCAUUAUAAAGGUUUUUGUUCUAAAAAAUAUCAAAUUAUAUUAAAUAUCGAAACAAUUUAAAAAAAAUUACUUUUAAAAUCCCAAA